GGAUGAACUGAGGGUAGCGGAGAAAUUCCAAUCGAACCUGGAGAUAGCUGGUUCUCUCCGAAAUAGCUUUAGGGCUAGCCUCAAGUGAUGAUUAUUGGAGGUAGAGCACUGUUUGGACGAGGGGCCCCUCUCGGGUUACCGAAUUCAGACAAACUCCGAAUGCCAAUUAAUUUAACUUGGGAGUCAGAACAUGGGUGAUAAGGUCCGUGUUCGAAAGGGAAACAGCCCAGACCACCAGCUAAGGUCCCAAAAUAUAUGUUAAGUGGAAAAGGAUGUGGCGUUGCCCAGACAACUAGGAUGUUGGCUUAGAAGCAGCCAUCAUUUAAAGAGUGCGUAAUAGCUCACUAGUCGAGUGACACUGCGCCGAAAAUGUACCGGGGCUAAACAUAUUACCGAAGCUGUGGAUUGUCCUUUGGACAAUGGUAGGAGAGCGUUCUAAGGGCGUUGAAGCAUGAUCGUAAGGACAUGUGGAGCGCUUAGAAGUGAGAAUGCCGGUGUGAGUAGCGAAAGACGGGUGAGAAUCCCGUCCACCGAUUGACUAAGGUUUCCAGAGGAAGGCUCGUCCGCUCUGGGUUAGUCGGGUCCUAAGCUGAGGCCGACAGGCGUAGGCGAUGGAUAACAGGUUGAUAUUCCUGUACCACCUAUAAUCGUUUUAAUCGAUGGGGGGACGCAGUAGGAUAGGCGAAGCGUGCGAUUGGAUUGCACGUCUAAGCAGUAAGGCUGAGUAUUAGGCAAAUCCGGUACUCGUUAAGGCUGAGCUGUGAUGGGGAGAAGACAUUGUGUCUUCGAGUCGUUGAUUUCACACUGCCGAGAAAAGCCUCUAGAUAGAAAAUAGGUGCCCGUACCGCAAACCGACACAGGUAGUCAAGAUGAGAAUUCUAAGGUGAGCGAGCGAACUCUCGUUAAGGAACUCGGCAAAAUGACCCCGUAACUUCGGGAGAAGGGGUGCUCUUUAGGGUUAACGCCCAGAAGAGCCGCAGUGAAUAGGCCCAAGCGACUGUUUAUCAAAAACACAGGUCUCUGCUAAACCGUAAGGUGAUGUAUAGGGGCUGACGCCUGCCCGGUGCUGGAAGGUUAAGAGGAGUGGUUAGCUUCUGCGAAGCUACGAAUCGAAGCCCCAGUAAACGGCGGCCGUAACUAUAACGGUCCUAAGGUAGCGAAAUUCCUUGUCGGGUAAGUUCCGACCCGCACGAAAGGCGUAACGAUUUGGGCACUGUCUCAACGAGAGACUCGGUGAAAUCAUAGUACCUGUGAAGAUGCAGGUUACCCGCGACAGGACGGAAAGACCCCGUGGAGCUUUACUGUAGCCUGAUAUUGAAAUUCGGCACAGCUUGUACAGGAUAGGUAGGAGCCUUUGAAACGUGAGCGCUAGCUUACGUGGAGGCGCUGGUGGGAUACUACCCUAGCUGUGUUGGCUUUCUAACCCGCACCACUUAUCGUGGUGGGAGACAGUGUCAGGCGGGCAGUUUGACUGGGGCGGUCGCCUCCUAAAAGGUAACGGAGGCGCUCAAAGGUUCCCUCAGAAUGGUUGGAAAUCAUUCAUAGAGUGUAAAGGCAUAAGGGAGCUUGACUGCGAGACCUACAAGUCGAGCAGGGUCGAAAGACGGACUUAGUGAUCCGGUGGUUCCGCAUGGAAGGGCCAUCGCUCAACGGAUAAAAGCUACCCCGGGGAUAACAGGCUUAUCUCCCCCAAGAGUUCACAUCGACGGGGAGGUUUGGCACCUCGAUGUCGGCUCAUCGCAUCCUGGGGCUGUAGUCGGUCCCAAGGGUUGGGCUGUUCGCCCAUUAAAGCGGUACGCGAGCUGGGUUCAGAACGUCGUGAGACAGUUCGGUCCCUAUCCGUCGUGGGCGUAGGAAAUUUGAGAGGAGCUGUCCUUAGUACGAGAGGACCGGGAUGGACAUACCUCUGGUGUACCAGUUGUCGUGCCAACGGCAUAGCUGGGUAGCUAUGUGUGGACGGGAUAAGUGCUGAAAG
rnacentral:rRNA from 1 species